rnacentral:lncRNA from 1 species
CAGGAAGGUCCCACUCCUCUUGGGAGGCAGGGAUGCCCCUAAUGGCUGACACUGAUAUGGCAGAGCUUGGUCUGAUGCUGCUAGGGAGGGAGGCGACGCUCCACCUUCUUAGUGUUCUCUGCUUCAGCUCAUUACCCCAAGGAUAGGCCCUGGUGUCAGUCAGCAGCACAGCUCAGGAAGGCUGUGAGAGACCCAGAGCAAGCUGGGGACAGAAAUGCCAGAUUCCAGUUCCCACCUCUCAGGACCAGGGACAGUAGCAAGGUUAGCAGAUUCACACCUCUCUUGUGCCUUUGGGCACCACAGUGGCGGAUUGGGCAAGUCUGGAACACAUGGGGCUCUGAAGUCAGCCAAUGCGCGAACUAUAGCAGGCAGCACACUGGCCAGAGAUUUCAGCACUGCGAUCGGGGACAGUUCCGUGGGCGGGGACAGUUCCGUGGGCGUGGCUGGUUUCUGCAACCCCUGCUACUUUCAAGCUCUGUACUCUGUUCCAGUGCCCACUGCAGUGUCGUAGAAUGUCCUCCAUCCGGGCCCCAGGCUCAGCUAGCUACCUGGAGGAGCUGCCUCAACAUCUGUGCUACCUGGGCCAUUCCAGCCUGAUCUGCUCCAGGUGUGCU